AUCCAACUGACAAGUCCCGAAUAAGACGAAACAUACGUUCUGGAU
rnacentral:hammerhead_ribozyme from 1 species